rnacentral:misc_RNA from 1 species
CGCAUAUUGCGCCCUUUGGUAUUCUGAAGGGCAUGCCUGUUCGAGCGUUAUUAUCAACCAUCAAGCCCGGCUUGUUAUUAGACUCUUGGUUAUAAGGACCGGUCUUAAAAAUAAUAGGUAGAACCUCAUGGCUCUCAGUAUAACAAGCUUUUUUAUAGCAUAUAUCUGUAGACCUGUGGUCCUACCUUUAAACCCCAAUUUUCUUAGGUUAACCUCGGAUCAGGUAGGAAUACCCGCUGAACUUAA